GUUAAAGUCCCACCCCGAAACGUAGGUUUAGGGUAAGAAAAUUUUCAAUUUCGCUCCUCUCCAAAUCUGCGUCUCCUCCCCUGUGCCGUUCCUCUCUCUCUCCCUCUCUCUUCCCCCCGUCUGCAUCCUUCCCCCCCGCCUCUCUCUCCCCGCUCUGCAUCUCCCCAGAGCAUUCUUGGAGUUGACAUUGAAAAUUUUUAACCCACUAUGAACGCAAAAGGGCAAAAACAAACCAAAACGGCAAGAUCCCGAGAAAUCAAAAGGGCAAAAUCAAGAAUAAAAAAGUAAGAACGAUGGUGGAGGUCGGAGAUUUGGAGCUGAUGUGGCCUUCAUCGCCAUCAACAGUUCACCUCUCAAUUUUCUCUCCGUUGACGAUGGUAUUUUUCUUCAAAAUAAUCUUGUACUGUAUUGGGUGAUUGAUAUGGAUUUUCCGGUCACAACUACAUUUUAUGGCAUGUUUUUUAUUUGAAUCGAGAUAUGCAUUGGAUUGAGAAUUGAGAUUAAACAAUUUGGUUCAAAUUAAUUUUAUUUAUUCAGAAAAUUACCAGCUCCGUCCUCUGUUUUGUUUGAAGAGAAAGAAAAGGCUGAAAAGCAGUAACUUUUGAGUUUUGAUUCUUAUAUGUUUUUUCAUGUAUUGGACCGAGCAGUGGGCAGCAAAUGAGGCUUUAUGUGAAAUUUGAAUUGCAUAGAGUUUAGACAUUGAGGCAAUCAGAUCCUGGAGCUUGGGUGCUAUUUCUGUGAUUACCAAGAGAGCUGGGAACUAAAGGUCAAACACUUGUAAAAACCAUCACUGGAGUAAUAUGAUUAGAAGUAAGUACAGGAACACGACGAAUUUAAGUUAUUAGCUUUCUCUUUUUGGAGUUGAUAAUUUUUUUAUAUAAUAAUAAUCUCGAGUGGGCAAGACAAUUUCGCUUGCUGAUCCAGUAAUGAAUACUAGUUUGUAGGAUUGCAGAAUUUAAAUAGUGGGAAUCUUUUGGAUUUGCUAAUGCCAUUAAUUGAUUUUAAGUUCCAACGACCAUGUUAAUUGUCCUCUAGCUGCUUGUAUUACUCUUUCAUGUCCCUCUUAUAAUUAUGAAUUUUUGACUGUUAUGAAAUAAUCUUCUAAACUCAAGUUACUCUUGCAUUUCAUUAAAUCUAAUUUAUUAACAUUUUGUGAAACUACAGGAGAGUUGAUUGAUAUAAUUUUUGUUCUAAUUUUACAGUUUAGGAAGGGUUAGAUGUUGAGUGACUUGAGUCAAAUGCCAUACCUAUAAUUUUUGUUGCUUUAUUAUUGAUUUUAAGUUAAUAAAUUUAGUUCCUUAAAACUUUUAUAAAUUAAAAAAAUCGAUUGCUUGCUAUGACUUAAGAUGUAAUGACUCGGAUCUCUGUACCCAAGCCAUUAGAUUACGUACUAUCUGCUUUGGGCGGGCCUUGCGUCCACUUACCCCUCAUGGCUUUCAGUCGCGUCCCGCAGGAUUCGAACUCAAAACCCUUCCCUUAAGUAAGACUUAAGUUGAAUUUUGGUAUAUACCGAUUCGAUCCGAGCUCAUGGAAUUGGUAUCCCAAUGAGCCGUCUAUCGAAUCGUUGCAAUUGAUGUUCGAUCCGGAAGAGAAAUCAUUGCACUUACGGUCUUACCAAUUGGGAGAGAAUCAAUAGAUUCCUUUUCGGGAGCGAUUCAUUCGAGGAAACCUUUGCACGCCUCCGUUACCAUUUGGAAACAAGUUGAUAGGAUCCCCUUUUUUACGUCCCCAUGCUGCCAGUUGCCCAAUUGGUAUUAGGAUUCAAUUUAAGUCUUAUUUAAAGGAAAUGUUAUGAGUUCGAAUCUUGGAGGACGUGACAGAAAGCCGUGAGGGGUAAGUGGGCGCAACGUCCGUCCAAAGCGGACAGUAUGUAAGUUAACGGCUUGGGUACAGAGACCCGGGUCGUUACAUAGGAGGCCAAAUUCUAAAGUUCGCCUCACGACCUGUGAAACACAGGUCCGGCCCUGUUUGGGAAUGCAUACGAUAUGCAAGGGACUAAUGGGGAUUUUGUUUUUGGACAUUAUUUAUGUUUGAUUAAUAUGAAGUUUCUAAUAUUGCAGAAUAUCUAAAUGCAAUCCAGUUCAGCUGUGAAGUUAUGAUGAUUACCAUUUAUGAUCUGAUAUUAAAUCUUAUGAGGAAAUUACGACAUGAUUACAGUGUUAAGUUUGAAGGGAUUGGAUAUGAAUUUGAGCAAUUUGUAACUCAACUGCUAAUUUGGUCUUGACACACCUUUUGCAUUGGCGCUGAAGAUCUACUUAGCUAUUAUUUGCAUCUCCAUUGGCUUCCAAUUUAUAGAAAAACUGUUGGUCAUUUGUGCUAAACUUCGAGUUGAGGUUUCUUGCCACUUCCUUUGGUUUACCUAUGAUCUUAAAAUUUUUUCCAAAGUUGGUAACAUGAAGUAGGUAAUUAAUCUACUACCUUGUGGGUGCUUGUUUAACAUGGAUGCUAAUAAUUUUCAGUCAUUUAUUUUCCUUAAGGAUAAAUGCUUAUUUAAUUUCGUCUUUCUACAACAACUGAUGCUCUUUUACAAAAUUUUGGGCAAUGUGGUCCAUCUUGUUGUCUUUGUUUAUUACGUGUUGUUGUACUUUGAUAUCUUUUAUUGUAUGUGCGUGCAUAUGGCAUGUUAUGCCAUUAUAUGAUUUCAAUAUUGCUGUCAACAUUAAUUUCUAUUCAAAUUUGGAUGGUAGGUAUAUUUCAAUUUUCCCCAGGGAUGUGAUGUCUGUAAUCAUGUCUGUUUAUUUCUGUGUGGUUAAAUCAUGACAACCUUCUUCAAGGAUGGAGUCAUUUUGUGCGGCUCACUAUUGCUGUGUGAACAAAGAUGCUAAAAGGUCCAAGUAUUCUGAUACUAAAUCAGUUUUGGAAAAAGGAUCUUAUUUUAGUCCUGAAUGUUGCAGCACUAAAUUUGAAGUCCUGAAUGUUGCAGCACUAAAUUUGAAGUCACAUACGAGGAGGCUGUUGCUUUAAACUGGCAAGAAGAGCUUAUCAGUGAAGAGGCAGCUUGGAUGGUCGAGAAUGAGCAGAACGCAAAAUGUGGAUCAGCUGAUAGGGAAAAGAAGUCAAGGAAAAAGUAUGUUUGCUAAAAUCAGUUUAUACCUCGUGAACACUAGUUCCAUCCAAUUGGAAAUAGAGAAGAUGGGGUUACAGUUGAAGUUGUUGAACUUUUACUAAUUAGACAAUAGAAAAUGUUGAUAUCUAGGAAGUGUAUUGCAUUAGUCUAGAAAGAGGUGGCAUUGUCCUUCAAAUUUUUCUUCUUCAGUGAGAUCUAGUUCGUGAAGUAUUUGCAUUUUUGUUUCUGUGAACAUAUUUUGGCUUUGUAAUCAAUGUUAAAUGUAUGAUAUCUUGUAAGAUUCACAUAUCGUGUGAUUUUAGAUAUUUCUUGAUUUUGAA